rnacentral:pre_miRNA from 1 species
UUAACUCAUAUUUGUAUAGAGUUGGAACAGCUUUCCUUCGUUUGCCGCUUGGGACGCUGUUUCAAUUUCACACAAAUUUGAGUUA